rnacentral:rRNA from 1 species
CUACGCACUCCUACGGGAGGCAGCAGUGGGGAAUAUUGCACAAUGGGCGCAAGCCUGAUGCAGCCAUACCGCGUGUAUGAAGAAGGCCUUCGGGUUGUAAAGUACUUUCAGCAGUGAGGAAGGUGGGUAUGUUAAUAGCAUAUUCAUUUGACGUUAGCUGCAGAAGAAGCACCGGCUAACUCCGUGCCAGCAGCCGCGGUAAUACGGAGGGUGCGAGCGUUAAUCGGAAUUACUGGGCGUAAAGCGCAUGCAGGUGGUUUGUUAAGUCAGAUGUGAAAGCCCGGGGCUCAACCUCGGAAUUGCAUUUGAAACUGGCAAACUAGAGUACUGUAGAGGGGGUAGAAUUUCAGGUGUAGCGGUGAAAUGCGUAGAGAUCUGAAGGAAUACCGGUGGCGAAGGCGGCCCCCUGGACAGAUACUGACACUCAGAUGCGAAAGCGUGGGGAGCAAACAGGAUUAGAUACCCUGGUAG